rnacentral:hammerhead_ribozyme from 1 species
AUCCAGCUGAUGAGUCUCAAAUAGAACGGAACGCGUGCCCUAGAU